GAUGGACGCUGGCGGCGUGCCUAAUACAUGCAAGUCGAGCGAACAGACGAGGAGCUUGCUCCUCUGACGUUAGCGGCGGACGGGUGAGUAACACGUGGAUAACCUACCUAUAAGACUGGGAUAACUUCGGGAAACCGGAGCUAAUACCGGAUAAUAUAUUGAACCGCAUGGUUCAAUAGUGAAAGACGGUUUUGCUGUCACUUAUAGAUGGAUCCGCGCCGCAUUAGCUAGUUGGUAAGGUAACGGCUUACCAAGGCAACGAUGCGUAGCCGACCUGAGAGGGUGAUCGGCCACACUGGAACUGAGACACGGUCCAGACUCCUACGGGAGGCAGCAGUAGGGAAUCUUCCGCAAUGGGCGAAAGCCUGACGGAGCAACGCCGCGUGAGUGAUGAAGGUCUUCGGAUCGUAAAACUCUGUUAUUAGGGAAGAACAAAUGUGUAAGUAACUAUGCACGUCUUGACGGUACCUAAUCAGAGAGCCACGGCUAACUACGUG
rnacentral:rRNA from 1 species